ACAGACACUCCCACACAAAAUCCUCCCCUCUGCCUGUGAUAUGAUUACUGAACACAAUGGUUAAUAUAAUUAUCACAGGCAGAGCAAUACAGUAUUAUAAAACAUAUCACAGGGAGCCCAAAACAUGCAAUAACCCCAUAAAGUAUAUCCUCGGAACCGGGGGAUCUGGGUGAACCACAUAUCCAAAAUUCACCCAGAUCCGUUCAGUAGUUUGGAAGAUACAGUUUAAUGCAGAUUCCACAGAACAUAUACAGGCUAUAUGAAAAAUAAUUACUG